UCUUCUUGCUUUGGUGACCCCCAUGUAUUGUCAGUGUGAGUGAAGGAGAGAGAACAGUGUCGUCUCACUGUGUGAGACUGUGAUGUCAUAGUCUUUGUCCCCUACGCCUGGCUCUGCUUUGACUGUAUCAAGCUAACCCAGACAGAGUGAGGACUAAGGGCAGAGAGAAAGGAACAGAAGGAGGAGAGGAGAUAGGGGGAGGUGAAAGGAUAGAGCACACUGAUCAUCCUUUGCAGACAGGAGCAGUUAAGCAACAUACAAGGCUCAAAUACAUCCCCAGCUUCAGCUUUCACUGACCUGAGGAUCCCACAUCGACAUCAACUCUUCCAUGACCAAAGACUGACCAGCACCACAUUUGGAAAUAGAACACUUGUCAGAGCCAUAGUAAACCAUACUGCCGAUAACCCAUUUAUUUGUCACAUGCGCCGAAUACAACAAGUGUAGACCUUACCGUGAAAUGCUUACUUACAAGCCCUUAAUCAACAGUGCAGUUCAAGAAGAGUUAAGAAAAUAUUUAUCAAAUAAACUAAUGUAAAAAGUUUAUCAAAUUAACUAAUGUAAAAAGUAACACAAAAUAACAAUAACAAGGCUAUAUACAGGGGGUACUGGCACCAAUUCAGUGUGCAGGGGUACAGGUUAGUUGAGGUAAUUUGUACAUGUAGGUAGGGGUGAAGUGACUAUGCAUAGAUAAUAAACAGCGAGUAGUAGCAGUGUCCAACACUUCCCCUCCUUACUGUCACUAGAGAAGGACUUUCUAGAUCAGAUUAAUAUCUGAUAUCUCUAGUGCAGAAUUAAGAAUCACUGAAGCAUAAGCUACCCUAUAUAUUGUCCUCUGUCUAGGGGCUGAGCUAGGCUUCUCAUCACAGUCUAUCUUGGAACAGAUGGAGCUGAUGUAAAUAUUGACAUUGUGUGGCUGCCUGUCCUCGUCUGAUCUGUACUAAAAGAGAGAGAAGAGAAAGUUCUGGGAGCUCAUCCUUAACCCUUUGACUCCUCAACUGGCGGUGACUUCAGAGCUGCCCUAGGGGCAGAGUUGGAUGUGAGGCAGCUGUCCGCUGCAGUCGACAUACAACAAACUUUCUCUUCUUUUAUGCCCUCUGUUUGUUCUCUUUUUGUAGCUACACGUCUUUCUCUCUCGUCAAAGGGUUCAUAUAGGAGUGCUGGCAUUAACACAUUCCCGAGGGAAGACACACGCUCGCUCUCUCACUGGAGGCCUGAGUCCACGCUCGCUCUCUCACUGGAGGCCUGAGUCCCCGCUCGCUCUCUCACUGGAGGCCUGAGUCCAUGCUCGCUCUCUCACUGGAGGCCUGAGUCCACGCUCGCUUUCUCACUGGAGGCCUGAGUCCACGCUCGCUCUCUCACUGGAGGCCUGAGUCCACGCUCGCUCUCUCACUGGAGGCCUGAGUCCACGCUCGCUCUCUCACUGGAGGCCUGAGUCCACGCUCGCUCUCUCACUGGAGGCCUGAGUCCACGCUCGCUCUCUCACUGGAGGCCUGAGUCCACGCUCGCUCUCUCACUGGAGGCCUGAGUCCACGCUCGCUCUCUCACUGGAGGCCUGAGUCCACGCUCGCUCUCUCACUGGAGGCCUGAGUCCACGCUCGCUCUCUCACUGGAGGCCUGAGUCCACACUCGCUCUCUCACUGGAGGCCUGAGUCCUCGCUCGCUCUCUCACUGGAGGCCUGAGUCCACGCUCGCUCUCUCACUGGAGGCCUGAGUCCACGCUCGCUCUCUCACUGGAGGCCUGAGUCCACGCUCGCUCUCUCACUGGAGGCCUGAGUCCCCGCUCGCUCUCUCACUGGAGGCCUGAGUCAGAUUAUGCCACUGUGCAAGAAGUGUGCGUGUCAGUGACUCUGUCAUGUCUGUCUGUGAAUAAGUCCACCAUGGGCUGUGCCAUGUGUUCCCAGUUGAUUGACAUGUGGAGCGUGUCGGUGAGGAGAACCAGCCGCAGGGCCAUGGAACAGACUGCCCUCCCCAAGGCACUCCAGGGGGGCUACCACAGAGUCACCAGCCUCCACUACAUGUCCUCCUUCUCCGAUGCAGAGGACUGCUGCGAUGACAACAACAGUCACAACAGCACCACCGGCAGCUCCUUCACCAUGGACUGGCAAGAGACGGAUGAGUGACACUUGGGCGGCAGGUAGCCUAGGGGUUAGAGAGACGGGCCAGAAACCAGACGUUUGCUAGUUCAAAUGUGCCCUUGAGCAAAGCACUUAACCCCCAAAUCUGCUCCAUGGUUACUGCACUGUGGCUGACCCUGGCUUCCAACCCCUCAGGCAUGUAUGUGGGGUGUUGGGUUAAAAGCAAAAGACGAAUUUGUGUAAUCUGCGAAGAAAAUGGACAAUACGUAAACCCAACAUAAAUACGUUGGCUAAUUCUCUGUGUGUAUGUGAGUGAUUAAAAUGUCCAUUAUUGAUCAACAUUGUAUUCAUUCUACAGUAUUUAUUUCUCAUCUGAAUUAUUUUGUUUGUUUAUGUAUUUUUUUCUAUAGGGGGAAUAAGAAAGCCUUUCUCAGAACUCUCAAAACAUCUCACAAUGAUGUGGCCUUAUUGUCAAGACUCACAUUCACCGUGUCAAUACAGACAGGAGUUUUUCUGACUACGGACCUGAGACCAGGAAAAUAUAGCCUAUAACCAGGGUUGUAGAGAAACAUGUAAUCAAUUACAAAGAACUGUAAUCAGUUACGUUACCAGCAGAACAUUGACAGGUAACUAGUAACUCGUGGAUUACAUUAGAAAGUUACCUUCCCAACCCUGCCUAUAACUAGCACCUGGACUUUUUCCAGGUCAGUUCAAGUGAAACACUCUGGGCCCUAAUCAGUCUACAAUAAAUCUAACAUUGAAAUGCUGUCAGUGUCUUAUUACAGCUUACUUACACAGUCCUGUCUAAGAUUUUCUAUUAAGGCUCUUCCAGUGUGUCAGUCUGAACACACUGCUUAGGAAUGCCUUGACGUUGGUCUGUUAAAAUGUGGGUGAGGGGAAAAGCUUUUGUGUAUUAUACAACACCAGCCCCUAUUUUGGCAAAGAUGUGUACAGACGCUGUGCAGCUACGCACAUAACUCUGUCCUGUAGCCUGGUUAAACUACUAAUAACAAGGCUAGAGAUUCAGAGCCAGAUAAAAAAAGAAAAACAACUCUCCUUUCAUGGAUAGGAACAUUUUGUUCUCAUAAAAGAAUGAUGAAGCCAACAGUAACACCAUGAACAUAAUCCAGUAGUUGUGCCUUGACCACUAAUGUCUGUAUGGUGUGGCUCAGUUGGUAAGAGCUUGGUGAUAGCAAGACCAAGGUUAUGGGUUCAAUUCCUGCAGGGAUCAAAAUGAUCAAAAAUACUUACCAAAAAAUGCAUGCACUCCCUAACUGAACUGUAAGUCACUUAAAACCAUACCAGUGGUUUGACUUGGCCCACAGGAACUGACACCAAAUCAGUGUUGUUCUCAGUCAGGUUGUGGAAAAGAUUACUACAAUUGUGAAAACUGAUCUUAGAACAGUUCAAAUAAUACUGUUAAAAUGAAGUGCUUUGUAACAAAACUAGUGGCAACUGAGCUGCCACCACCUUAAAGCAGAGGAAACCUUAACGUUGCUAGAGUAUUGAAACAUGGUUGUGAGGGUAUUGGGACAGAUUUAAGGUGUACUAAAAAAUUCAUCCUGAGGUGUUCUGAAACACGACAUGGUGUGUUGUAACACCACAGAGUCAGGAGUUGUGCAGCACCUUGCCAGAGACUGGAAGCACUAACCUGGAAAAGAUUGAAAACACUUAUGGUGUUUGGAGUCCUGUGUAGCGCAGAAUUGGAUCCGUUCUCUUUUGGUGUUGUUUCCUCUCUCUAAAGCUACUUAACACUUUGAUGGUGUUUUGAAUCCUGUCUUGUGCAGAAUUAGUUCCCUACUUUUGGAGUUUCCAAAUACUGUAAAUGAAAGCCCCCCCCCCCCCUUAUUGUAUAGUCCAUGUUCUUGUAUGUUUAUAAACUCCUCAUUGGUCAUUCCAAAAGGUCAAAUGUACAGUAUUCUCAAACAAAGGACAAGAAAAUAUAGUUUUGUGAAAACACAAAUUAAUCAUUUCGUGCAAGAUAAUGAGUACAAAAUUACUUUUAAAGACAGGAUUUAGAAGCUUAAUUUCAAAUUAUCAAAUGACUAAACAGGUCUUUCACAUGUGUAUACUGAGUUGAAAGAUCUAAGUUAUUUAUCAUUAAUAUUCUUCAAAAUCAACAGAAAUAUUGCAUUUAUAUUUCACAUUCAUGAAAAAUAAAUACAGGCAAUGACUGCUAAUGUUAGCAGUAGCACUUCUACAAACUUCAGCCCAGGGCUCAAUGUGAUCUACCAGUCAUCCGUUAUGCUAAUAAAUUUAAACUGUGUCUUAAUAUUCAGAUGAUGCCAUGAAAGGUUGCUCAGAUGGAUUGAAUCACAGUACAGUUGAGUUAGAUGAUAUGAUUGACAGUUCAGUUGGCAUUAGUCUGUGAUUCUUGUCUUGAUUUGGUUAGGAUUGGCCAGCCGGUGGGUAACGUAGUAUGUAUGCAUGUUUUUUUUGCAGGGAGACAGACAUAUAGCAAGCAAUAAUGAUAGUACAUGAGUGCAUAAUUUGGUUAUCAUCAAAUGCUAUAAUAUUAAGGGAAACCCAGCCAAGAGCUGCCCAGUGACGCAAGCCUACCAGACGAGCUAAAUGCCUUCUAUGCUCGCUUAGGAGGCAAGCAACACUGAACCAUGCGUGAGAGCAUCAGCUGUUCCGGACAAUUGUGUGAUCACACUCUCCAUAGCCGAUGUAAGACCUUUAAACAGGACAAUAUUAACAAGGCCGCAGGGCCAGACGGAUUACCAGGACGCAUACUCAGAGCAUGCGCUGACCAGCUGGAAAGUGUCUUCACUGACAUUUUCAACCUCUCCCUGACCCAGUCUGUAAUACCUACAUGUUCCAAGCAUACCACCAUAGUCCCUGUGCCCAAGAGCGCCACAGUAACCAGUCUAAAUGACUACCGCCUCGUACCCCUGCACAUAGACUCGGUACUGGUACUCCUUGUAUAUACAAUCAUAGCUGUGGGAAGUAGGGGUACUGAGGGUGCUGCAUCACCCCCUGAAAAAUCCCAUAAUAGAAAUCUUUUAAAAAUAUAUAUCACAAAAGUAGUGCACUGGGCCUUUACAAGUCCUGUAUUACAGACUGAUAUAGCCAUCUGUAGGGUGGCAACCCGUCUGUAGCACUGCAAAAAAAUUCAGCACCACCUGUGUUUGAAAUUAACUGCUGGACUGAGGAACCUUACAGAUAAUUGCAUGUAUGGGGUACAAAUCAUGUUAAACUCUAUUAUUGGACACAGAGUGAAUAAUUGUUAUUAUAACUUAUGUGACUUAAGCACAUUUUUACUCCUGAACUUAUUUAGGCUUGCCAUAACAAAAAGGUUGAAUACUUAGACUAAAGACAUUUCAGGUUGCUAAUUAAUUAAUUGAUGUUAUUAAUUUGCUAAUUUUAAAAACAAACAUUAUUCAAUUUUGACAUUAUGGGUUAUAAUGUGUAGGCCAGUGAAUAUCUAAAUUGCAUCAAUUUUAAAUUCAGGCUAUAACAACCCAAUUUGGAAGAAAAAAAGUCAAGUGUUUUCCCGAAGAUACUGUAGCCUCUUUAUUUUUAUUUUAUAUUUGUUAAUAUUUCCUUUAUUAAAAAACAUUUUACUUUUUUUACUUUUUAACUCUGCAUUGUUGAAUUCAAGUACGCAUUUCAAAGUAAAGUUCGCACUUGUAUUCGACGCAUAAAAUGUUAUUUUAUUUGAAAGCGAAUCAAUUAAACAAAAUGGAUGUUUGAUUUAUUCUAUUAGCUUUGUUCUUAUUGAAUGAAUUCCUUUUCUGUUUCCUUCUUCAGUGUCAAAGGGAAAGGGGGAUACCUAGUCAGUUGUACAAAAAUGCAUUUAAACAUAUAUAUAUAUAUAUGUACAUAGCCCAUCUAUAAAUAGCCCAAACAACUACCGCUUCCCCUACUGUAUUUAUUUAUUUUGCUCCUUUGCACCCCAGUAUUUCUACUUUGCACACUCAUCUACUGUCAAAUCUACCAUUCCAGUGUUUUAAUUGCUAUAUUGUAUUUACUUCGCCACCAUGGCCUAUUUAUUGUCUUUACUUCCCUUAUCUCACCUCAUUUGCUCACAUUGUAUAUAGACUUAUUUUUCUACUGUAUUAUUGACUGUAUGUUUGUUUUACUCCAUGUGUAACUCUGUGUUGUUAUAUGUGUCGAACUGUUUUGCUUUAUCUUGGCCAGGUUGCAAUUGUAAAUGAGAACUUGUUCUCAACUUGCCUACCUGGUUAAAUAAAAAAUAAUUAAACAAAAUAAAAAAUAAAUGUUAACUCGUUACAUCUGCUAUCUUACAUAGCCCUAAACAUUUGGAUUGAACAGUUGUACAUUAUUUAUGAUGUCACAAUGGGCCUGGUAACUGUAGCCUGUAAUAAGUGCCAAAGUCUACCCUAGGAAAAAAAACAUCCAGUGUUUUUU